CAUUGAUAAAUAUAAACAUUAUAACAAGCCCAUUAACAACAAUGAAAUUUGCUUGCAGGGUUUUGCAGCACGGUCGGCAUUUAUCCAAAAUAGUGAUUAAAAAAACAUGAUUUUCUUAACAAACGUUGAAAGAUGGGAACGACCACACGUUCUCUAUGGCCAGUUAUUGGACUGGAUUAGGUGGUUGGUCGCCUGGCUGCCCUUAAUCUUGUUCCUAGUUCGAGGUAUCAAUUGGGCAUUGGGCCUUGAGUAAGUAACAUUGCCUUGUUAUCCACCAAAGUAUCAUCAGAACGCAGCAGGGGCGUUUCCCAUUUACGAAGAUGUCAAAAAAGAGCGCUUUUGAGGACGGUGCUUAUUUUCUUAUUAUAUGUGUACUUUUUUGUCAGAAAAGAUUAUUUUACAUUCACAUUUCAAGAACCUUUACACUUAUUUGUGGUCUUAUAAUUAUUUUAAAAAAUUGUAAUUCUGAGGCUUAUUUCAAUCUUCGAAAAUAAUUUUAGAAAAAGUGCUUGUAUUUCCAACAAAUCAUUAAUACAAAAAUGUCAUUAUCAUAGUGGAAGUUACGCAAGGUAUAAACUUUGCGGUUUUAUUACUCAAUUUAAACAUAAAUUUCGUAGAAGAAGGAAGUAUCUUAAGUAACAAGUUUCUUUUUUUGUGAAUAGUCGACAAAAGUGACCCGUGGUGAAUCGAGGCGGCUUUGGUUAUUCUUAUUUAUUUAAAAAUGUUAUUACUUCUUUUUAUUUAUGGAAUUCUGUAUGUAAACAAUAAUGACACAAAAGAUACAUAACCUGAAGCAAUUACACGUUUUUUUUACUUACAACAAAAAACAAUUUGAGUCGGAUUUUUACACCACCGGUCACUUUCUCAACUACUUCGCAAGAAGUGAAACAUAUUUUUUUAAAUACUUUCAAAUUUACGAAAUUACUCCCUAAAUUCAAUAAAAAAAUGUGAAAAUUUCACUCAUGAACAGUCUUUUUUUGUUGAAAACUGAGAAAUAUAAUAAAGCUGCCGGCUUGAUAAUGUGAACUGAUCUAUUUCCGUCAGCCUUUUUCAUUCGUAAGUGACAAUUAGCGAUCGAAGUGUCGCCUAGAUUUUUAACCCCAAUACAGUAACAUACUGUUUUAUAAUUUUUUUAUCUAGGCACGUUUUGGCUGCUUAUGACACAUCACUGAAUACCUAGUCUUGAGACUGUGCAGUUGUACAUUUUUGCGAUAUAGAAUAUCAAGUCGCGGUAAUGUACUUUGGUAGUGAAAGGAAUUCAUAUGUAGAGGAAAAGGACUAGUAGUUACACUUUAAAAUCUUAUUCUAUACGUACACAUGAUUAAUUUCUGCCAAUGUGAGCUUUCACAUACAAUUUUAAUUUACUUCUGUUUUUGCUUGAAGGUUUUUCAGCAUUUAUUAUUUUAAGAUUUGAACAAAAUAUUUAUGCACUUUUUCGAAAAGAAUAUUCAAUUUUUGCAUUUUAAAAAUGUCCUGAUUAUAUAAUAAUAAAUUAUAUUAUAAUAAAUUCUAGAUUUCCUUGUAAUUAAAGCGGGGAAAACGGGCAUGUACAAGCAUCUUUUGUUUUAAUUAAAAUAUGGAUAGUCGUAACUGUCGAUCUUGAAUGAAGAUUCAUUAUGAAAUAAUGUAUGUACACAUUCUAUGAUGAAAAGAAAAUAUGAACAAUCCGAAAUGAUCUUGUGAUCUCACUGUUCAUUCAUCAGUUUUCACUCGAGUGUCCGUAUUGACCAGAAAGACUCGUGAAUUUAAGCUUUCUUUUGCGUGACCCCUUCACGUCUGACUACUUUGUAAAUAUUCUAUAAUAAAGCAUUCAUCAUUUGUAAGAAUAA